AACGCGUGGGAAUAUGCCCUUCUCUAAGGAAUAGCCUCUGGAAACGGAGAGUAAUACCUUAUACGCCCUUCGGGGGAAAGAUUUAUCGGAGAAGGAUUAGCCCGCGUUAGAUUAGGUAGUUGGUGGGGUAAUAGCCUACCAAGCCUACGAUCUAUAGCUGGUUUGAGAGGAUGAUCAGCCACACUGGGACUGAGACACGGCCCAGACUCCUACGGGAGGCAGCAGUAGGGAAUCUUAGACAAUGGGGGAAACCCUGAUCUAGCCAUGCCGCGUGUGUGAUGAAGGCCCUAGGGUCGUAAAGCACUUUCGCCAGAGAUGAUAAUGACAGUAUCUGGUAAAGAAACCCCGGCUAACUCCGUGCCAGCAGCCGCGGUAAUACGGAGGGGGUUAGCGUUGUUCGGAAUUACUGGGCGUAAAGCGCACGUAGGCGGAUUAGUAAGUUAGAGGUGGAAUCCCAGGGCUCAACCCUGGAACUGCCUUUAAUACUGCUAGUCUUGAGUUCGAGAGAGGUAAGUGGAAUUCCGAGUGUAGAGGUGAAAUUCGUAGAUAUUCGGAGGAACACCAGUG
rnacentral:rRNA from 1 species